rnacentral:rRNA from 1 species
GUCUAUGACCAUACCAUCCUGAACACACCCGAUCUCAUCUGAUCUUGGAAGCUAAGAAGCUGAGGCUCAUGGAGUAGGGCAUGUGCCUUGCUAUGCUAAUAGUCCAGUUUCAAGUCUGACCAUCACACAGA